rnacentral:rRNA from 1 species
UGGGGAAUAUUGCACAAUGGGCGCAAGCCUGAUGCAGCCAUGCCGCGUGUGUGAAGAAGGCCUUCGGGUUGUAAAGCACUUUCAGCGAGGAGGAAGGUGGUGAGCUUAAUACGCUCAUCAAUUGACGUUACUCGCAGAAGAAGCACCGGCUAACUCCGUGCCAGCAGCCGCGGUAAUACGGAGGGUGCAAGCGUUAAUCGGAAUUACUGGGCGUAAAGCGCACGCAGGCGGUUUGUUAAGUCAGAUGUGAAAAUCCCCGGGCUCAACCUGGGAACUGCAUUUGAAACUGGCAAGCUAGAGUCUCGUAGAGGGGGGUAGAAUUCCAGGUGUAGCGGUGAAAUGCGUAGAGAUCUGGAGGAAUACCGGUGGCGAAGGCGGCCCCCUGGACGAAGACUGACGCUCAGGUGCGAAAGCGUGGGGCAGCAAACAGGAUUAGAUACCCUGGUAGUCCACGCUGUAAACGAUGUCGAUUUGGAGGUUGUGCCCUUGAGGCGUGGCUUCCGGAGCUAACGCGUUAAAUCGACCGCCUGGGGAGUACGGCCGCAAGGUUAAAACUUAAAUGAAUUG